CUUUCUCUCUCCUCUCUCCCUUCUCGCAAAACCCUCUUCUAGGGUUCGUCCGCCGUGCCUCCGCCGCCGCCUAUACUUGGCCUUUCUCCACAGCCACCGUGAGUAAGAUGGUCUCCAGUACAAGAGAGACGGUCGACACUGCUGCCGGGGAAAAACAGAGAGCCUUAGAGGCGUUCUCGUACUCCGUUUUGAUGUUUGGUUCGCAGUGAGGAGGACAACAAAGGCUUCUGCAAGCGAGUGCCAACGCAUGCAAAACCCUCUAUCCAGGACACGGUAAGAGAAAAAAAAAAACGGAUGUGCAGAAGAGGCUCUCAAAACCUUAGAAUAGGGUCUGGGGUCUUCGCCGAAAAAAGAACAGCAACACCAGCAAACUAUCUGGAGUUUUGAUUGGCGAUCUCCAAUGCCUAUACAAAGAAAAAAGGAUGCCGAGAGCAGCGGCGAACACGGUCAACCUGCCACUUGCACACCGCUCACCAGCAAAAGGCCUACAACCUUCACUCUGUCAACAAUGACAGAGGACAACCGGUAGAGGUAGUGAUCAUUAUAAGCAUCGCAGGCACCACUGAAGCCUGAACAGACUUACUUGGAUUAGAAGAACCGUGGCUCUGAUACCAUUGAUGGGAUCUUCGCAGCGGAACGGCGUCUGCAUUAGGCUCUCAUCUGUCCAUUAGGUCCACAACCAGCAGCGUCUCAAACGUGAAGAAGUAGUACCUAUAAACAAUAGAGGGGAAAGGAAUAAGCAGAAGAGAAAGGGAUUCAUGGGUUUGCUUCUGAGAGGCGCAGCUUGGCUAAUCGAUGAUCAACCAAUUAGAUGAACAUACAUUGGGCUUUAUAGUCCGGCUCUCAGGUUUUUCCAAAUCCCAGCAAUAGUAUGGCAGGGAGAAAUUAUGGUAAGAUUGUAAAUGGCAAUAUUGAUUUUGUAAUCAAUUUCCUGUUUUAAUUUCGUAGCUGCAGGGGAUCCUCUUGCAGUUACGAGAGGAAUGGUAGGGAUCAGGGCCACUAUCCAACACCCUUACCCUUACGUUAGGAUAAGGGUUGUUCCCGAUAAUAUCAUUGGCAAUAGUUUCUUUGGUUAUUGGCAA